rnacentral:rRNA from 1 species
UACGGAGGGGGCUAGCGUUGUUCGGAAUUACUGGGCGUAAAGCGCACGUAGGCGGCUUUGUAAGUUAGAGGUGAAAGCCCGGGGCUCAACUCCGGAAUUGCCUUUAAGACUGCAUCGCUAGAAUUGUGGAGAGGUAAGUGGAAUUCCGAGUGUAGAGGUGAAAUUCGUAGAUAUUCGGAAGAACACCAGUGGCGAAGGCGACUUACUGGACACAUAUUGACGCUGAGGCGCGAAAGCUAGGGGAGCGAACGGG